AUGGUUUGCUUUCGGUUGUUCCCCUUCCUCCUCGGCACGGCCAUCGGCGUGUACGCGGCCCAGAACUAUAAGGUCCCGAAUCUCCGCCGCCUCGCCAAGUGCUAAGAGGAGGAAUACCGCAGGAAGCCAUAA
rnacentral:rRNA from 1 species